GGUUCCUGACCCACACUGCUGGUGGUAUCAGAAUGUCUUCCAGACUUCUUGCCAAUAAAAAAGAAUAGAAAACAAGACUAGCAUCUGUCCAAUGGGGCUCACUCUCCAUUUUUCUCUACACACCUUUCCUUUGUGGGGAGAAGAAGAGGAGAAUAGCAUGAAAAGUGCAAAAUGUUUCAAAUUCCUGUUCAAAAUCUUGAUAAUAUCAGGAAGGCUCGCAAAAGGGUGAAAGGCAUUCUUGUGGAACUUGGGCUUGACAGCUGCAGGGAAUUGUUGAAGAAUCUUAAAAGUUUUGACCCAGGUGAAAAAUACUUCUGCAACACUUCGUGGAGUGAUGUCUCUCCUUGGGAGUCUGUGGGCAAAAGGAAGAGAUACAGAACAAAGCCGUACUGCUGUAGUUUAUGCAAGUUCUCAUCAAAAUUACUUACUUCACUGAAGAGUCAUUUGCACCGUUACCAUGAAGAUGAAAUGGAUCAAGAGCUUAUAGUACCUUGCCCAAAAUGCGUGUUUGCUUCUGAGCCAAAAGUAGUGGGAAAACAUAUCCGAAUGUUUCAUUCAUCUAAUAAGAGAAUACAGAACUAUACAGUCAGCAUCUUGGAUGGCAUGAAACAAUUCAGAAGUGACAUCAUUAACUUUACAUGUCUAAAAUGUAACUUUACAGACACAUUGUAUUAUAACAUGAAGAAACAUGUGCUGAUGAACCAUUUUCAAAACUUAAUAAGUACGUAUUUUGGCCAGAGACCUGAUGAAAGUAAAGAGAAUUGUAUUGAGAACUACUGCAAAAAAUGUAAUGCUUCUGCAAACAGCCAAGAUUCUUUAAUGUAUCAUGUCUUGACAGCUGAAACACACAGAGACCUGGAGAACAAACUUCGGUCUGUAAUUUCAGAGCAUAUUAAGAAACCAGGACUUGUGAAACAAAUGCAGAUAGCUCCAAAGCUUCCCCAAAGUGUACCUGUAGCUGCUCUGUCUGUAGGUCCUCCUGUGGCCCCAGCAGGUUCCAUCACAGCUCCAGCUUGUAUCCAACUUGCGUUCCCACAGAAUAAUCAAAACCAGACUGUGGUGCAGCCGAAAGUUCAGAACACAGUCACAUCACUGACUGUUCCAAGUGCCUCUUGUAGUGUUCCACAUACAUCUUCUACUCCAGUUGUUACCCCAUCGCAUGUUACUCUUGUAUCCAGUCACCUUCCUGUAGGUCAGAAUAAUGUUAAUAUUCAGCCAUCUCCUUCUCAGCCUCUCAUUGUUUC
rnacentral:lncRNA from 1 species